GGGCAUUUGGUCUAGUGGUAUGAUUUUUGCUUUGGGUGCGAGAGGCCUCGAGUUCAAUUCUUGAAAUGUCUC
rfam:Ipomoea nil DNA, scaffold: scaffold2975, cultivar: Tokyo-kokei standard.